rnacentral:rRNA from 1 species
GACGAACGCUGGCGGCGUGCUUAACGCAUGCAAGUCGAACGAAGAGCGAUGGAAGCUUGCUUCUAUCAAUCUUAGUGGCGAACGGGUGAGUAACGCGUAAUCAACCUGCCCUUCAGAGGGGGACAACAGUUGGAAACGACUGCUAAUACCGCAUACGAUCUAAUCUCGGCAUCGAGGAUAGAUGAAAGGUGGCUUCUACAUGUAAGCUAUCACUGAAGGAGGGGAUUGCGUCUGAUUAGCUAGUUGGAGGGGUAACGGCCCACCAAGGCGAUGAUCAGUAGCCGGUCUGAGAGGAUGAACGGCCACAUUGGGACUGAGACACGGCCCAGACUCCUACGGGAGGCAGCAGUGGGGAAUCUUCCGCAAUGGACGAAAGUCUGACGGAGCAACGCCGCGUGAGUGAUGACGGCCUUCGGGUUGUAAAGCUCUGUUAAUCGGGACGAAAGGCCUUCUUGCGAACAGUUAGAAGGAUGAC